rnacentral:rRNA from 1 species
AUACGUAGGGUGCGAGCGUUAAUCGGAAUUACUGGGCGUAAAGCGAGUGUAGGCGGGAUCGUGUGUCGGAUGUGAAAGCCCUCGGCUCAACCGAGGAAGUGCAUCCGAAACUGCGGUUCUUGAGUGUCGGAGAGGGUGACGGAAUUCCCGGUGUAGAGGUGAAAUUCGUAGAUAUCGGGAGGAACACCAGUGGCGAAGGCGGUCACCUGGACGAACACUGACGCUGAGACUCGAAAGCGUGGGUAGCAAACAGG